CUCAAUGUUGUGUCUGUAUCUGCAGGUACACAGACGAGGAGGCAUACAAAGAUAUGGCAAUUGGUAUUGAUUUCACCCUCCCUACACCUCUGACGAAUAAAACAGAAAACCUGUUAGAUCACCAAGCGCUGCAAAAUCAUUCUAGCUAUGGAUACAGAGAACAUCAACACAUUAACAUCAACACGCCAGAGGAUAUACCAAUUGGACUUGGGGCUCUGCUUGGAGUUUACCUCAUAUUUAAAAAAAUGUAUUCUGCUUUGCCACUAAAAUCAUAAUAAA
rnacentral:lncRNA from 1 species